GGGGGCAUAGCUCAGUUGGGAGAGCAGCAGACUGAAGCACGUGAUUCGUCAUUCGCUUUCUGAAGGUCCCGCGUUCAAUCCGCGGUGCCCCCA